rnacentral:lncRNA from 12 species
GGGGCGACAGCUUUCCUAGCUGAUUUUAUUCUAAAAAUAUCAGGAAUUGGCCAAGAGCCUUUGCUCUGGAGAAAGGUUCAGAGCUUUUCCACGGGGGCCUAAACAGAGUGCGAAAAUUUCUAUUCCUACAGCAAAAGGAGACGAGAGUUAUGGAAGGCACAACAAGAAAAGGCCUAAGUUCACCUCCUGCUUGUCCACAGAACACCUCUUCACCUUCUGGCUGCCAGAGGAGCCACGCUAUUCUUAGCCAUCUCCUGCGAAGAAUAUAAUGAGGGUGAUGAUGAAGACGGUCUGGAAGCACAUUUUCAAGGAACACGAACGUGUUGAAGUUUUCAAUCUUACCCAAAAUGAAGAACUGCAUUUUUCCUCGGGGGUGAGAUUGCAUUUAUGUUGUUCUUCCUGAAUUUCAUUAGCUUCUCACUCCCAACUUGAAAGAAGACUGUGAACGGCAGUGAAGGCAUCGAGAAUGUGGCAGCAAAUGCUAAAUUUAAAAAAGAAAAAAAUGGAAGUCUUCCCUGUGAAUUUAAGGAAAAUAAUGGUCUUGGCACUCUAAUCAUUGGGUUUGAUAUUGAAACAGCCCGCAGAUUGUCAAAACGAGGGAAAUUGCAUGAAUCUGAAACUCGAGGCCAGAACUGCUUAAAAAGAUAGAUUCAAGGAUGUGGCCAGGUUGCUGAGAUGGAAUAUACAAAUUUAGCAGGAGUAACUUCAUCUUUUUUGUUCCCGCUGUUUUUCAAUAACGAAACCUCCAAAACAGUAAAAGACUAUCCAGGCUUGAAACAGAUGGGAAAAGCAGAUGCACCUUGAGUCUUCAGACCGAGCUCCCAAAUACUCUAGGAGACAGGCAGAGAAGGAUAUUUUCCUGGAGGCCCUGUGGGUUUGUCCAGCUCUAACCGGUAGAGAUCCGGCUGGUCUGACAAUGCUUCUAGGUGACUCUGAUGCAGGCCACGGUUUGGGAACUACCGGUGUUUGCUCUUACAGUAGGUCUCAACGUAGUCCCAACAUUGGAACCACUUGGAGAACUUUCAAAAUAAAUCUUGUCUGGAUCCCACUUCUGCAGAUUCUAAGUUAAUUGGCCUGAGACCUGGCCGGAUCAUUGAAGCUGAAAAACCUCUCCAGGUGAGUCUAAUAUUCAGACAAGCAGGGGCCCCACCCACUGUGCUAACGUCAACCUACUCUCUUUAUAAGGGGCGACUUUCAGAGAAGAAGAGCAAAGAGAAGUUGCUGGGAAAGCAAAGCAGGAUAGGAGUUUGGGGAGAAAGGCAGAUAAAGUGAGUUAUACAUACGGAAUGCUUUCUGCUUUACCUAAAGGCAUCGAAUCCAUCUCUAGAACCUUUUCCAGUGAUGAGUAAUUC